CUGGCUCCAGGCAAGGGCAGGACAAGCCCUUGCAGAGGCAAGGACCUACCAGGAAGUAAAAUAUCUGUUUGGUUUGCAAAUUUCCUGUAAAUUUUACAAUCAGCUCUAAAAGUGGGUACAAGUUGGUUUCUCCAACAGACCACUGGCAAUGUCCUGCACUGUGUAAGUUGGAAGUGUCCAGCAUAAUGAUAUGACACAGCUGAAAAGUCCUGCUGGUGUAGCAUCCCAGUAUCUCUGUGCCAUCCAGAGAGCCAUGGUCAUGCCCUGUCCAACAAGAUCUGGAUCUCAGCCUUGGUGGCCCUGGGGGUCUUCCUUCAGUGCUCUAACUCAAUCCUAGGGGUGAGGGCUAUUAGAUAUUAUAAAAUAGACAUGCUGUUAUACAGUAAAUCUACUGUUUCCAUAUUCUUUAGAGCCAAUCCUCAUGACUCCAAACUCCUGUUAUAGUUAAUAAUUCUUUAUAUUAGGCUUUCCCUACUAAUUACUAUAUGGUUUAUCUCCCUUGAUUAUACCCAGACUGCUUUACCUUGGUACAAAUCAUAACUUAUACCCUGCUAUCUUAC
ensembl:lncRNA